CCACAGAUACAUUUAUAUAUGGGUUCAUUUCAUUUGUUGCAGGCAGUGAUGUAUUCAUCAAAUGAUAACAACUAAUAACAGACACAGCUUUAAAGCAUUGCAAGCUACAAAUGAAGAGCACGAAGAACUGAAAUCAAUGUAUACAACUAGCUGAAGUUUGCUGUGUUUUUAUCCUAACAACACACAAAGACUGCCUGCAAUCAUUCAGUCAGGGACGACUGCACAAAAUGUGCAAAGUGUUUGUGAACAAAAUGUACACUGUAGAUUAAUAAAAACAUUAUAACUGUUACAAAAGAUUGCGGUUUUAGUGGGGGGUUUAUGGAAAAUGCACAUAUUUAACAAAGUUUGUGGAUUUUGCACUUUUGAGACACUCCCUAACUUGAUGUGCGCAAGCGGAGAUCAUUGUAAGGAGUUUUUCACUUCUGAUGCUUAAAACAAUUACAUCGUCAAAUAAUAUUAUUAUUCAUUCUGAUAUUAUGCUUUUAAAUCUAAUCUGAACGAGAUACAGCAUGAGCCAUGAAUAUUAUGCCUUUACAUUAAUUAAUGCUGAAGAAAAGAUUGAAUGUCCAAGGAAUGUCCAACAUAAAACCAACUUUCUAGCAUCCUGACAAAGUCACACAUGAUCAUCUGCUUGAUCAUCGCAUGAAGAGCUUUAAAUAAAACCAUCAAAAUGACUUCAGCACUGCAUUAAAGAAGCAGGAAAUGAUCAAUGGCAUCAAAACAACAAAAGAAAGAUGAAACACUCACCUCAAACAGUACUUGUAGAUCUUCUUCCGCGAUGAACAGAUCUGAAAUCUCUUUCACUUCUAGCAGGAUGUGGUCGAGUGAGCUCAGCUCAGUGCGCUGCACAUGAAAAAAAAAAAGAAAAGAAACCAUCAUCAUUUUAACACACGUGCACUGCAAAUGCUCCCAACACAAAACAAAUAAAGAAAUGAGAUGCAAAAACAUACAGACCAAAUGUUUAAGGGAACAGCAAAGCGACAAACAUGGCGAUGCAUGUUUAUCAAUGUUUGCUCAGAAAGAUUAUUCCAUAAAACCUGCUGAGAGACAGCGCGCAUCAUGUCCAUUCAUGAAUGCCCCGCCCACUGAAACUGAGAAUCUCCUCACAGGAAAGAGUGAGUGCAGGUCAGUGGGGGAGGGGGAGUACACCCUCAGUUUACUUACAUCUAUAACAGAUAUACUAAUCAUAUACAAAUUAAACAUUGUCUUAAUCUAUAUUCAUCUAUUCAGGCACAUCUGCUAACAUAAACUUUCCAGCCUCCUGACAGAGACACAUUUGAUCAUCGCAUGAAGAGCUUUAAAUAAAACCAUCAAAAUGACUUCAGCACUGCAUUAAAGAAGCAGGAACUGAUCAAUGGCAUCAAAACAACGAAAGAAAGAUGAAACACUCACCUCAAACAGUACUUGUAGAUCUUCUUCCGCGAUGAACAGAUCUGAAAUCUCUUUCACUUCUAGCUAGUGAACUGAACCAGAGACAAUAGCUAUGUCCCAAAGUUGAGUGUGCACACUUCGAAGGCCACGGACUUCGAGGACCAGACCUCCGAAGUGCGUGAGAUGCUCCGCCUUCACAGGAUUUCCUAAUUCCGUCACCAGGUGUUUCCGAUUAGCGCUCUGUCGCAUAGCAACGGUACGAGAAGAGCGCUGACGAGAGGACAGUCCCGCCAGGACAGGUGGAGCCAGAACUGCUCGUUUUUGUUUUUAUGAUUUACUCAUAAUGGAGGAGAUGGUGAUGAACCUCAGGUUUAGCCAAGACCGAGGCCAGGUAAACUACACUGGUUUACUGCGAUCUUCGUCGGAUUACAACUUUAAAUGCAGGUACUGGCUUGGAGCUUACUUGAAUAAUGUAAUGAUACAUAUGAAAAACUACAAAAUACACACAUAGCAGUUCAAAUGCUGACUGAUAUCUUACAAAGGUGUGAUUUUAUGUAGUUUAUUGUCUUGACCAUAAUAUGUAGACAGGUUUGAAAUCCAUAUUUUUUUAGGCAGUUAACCAUAAAAAUAAAACUGUAUUUAAAAAAAUAGAGCAUAGUACAGCUUAAUGUCCAGCAACUUUAAAUUUAAUAACCUUGAACAUAUUUAGAAGUAAACUGCAAACAUACACAGAAGUGCAGCAGUAUUAUUAAUGUAAAACCAUCCUGACAAAUUCUCUUUUUCAAGACAAUACUGCACAUACCUUUACUUUUACUCUCAAUACCUUCAGUAUAUUAGAGUAUGCAAGAUAAUACUUUUACUUAAAGAUAGUUCAGCCAAAAAUGAAAAUUCUGUAAUCAUUUACUCACCCUUCAGUUGCUCCAGGUUUGUCAUUUAUAUUUUUGGGUUUAAAAGGUUGUAAAUAUGACUAGUAGUUUUUCCCCAAUAUGGUAUUGUAUGGAAUGAUUUUUGUGUCUUUAUUAUUCAAUCAAACAUUCUGUGUUUGAAAGUAAAACUAAUUAUUUUGUAAUUAAAAAAUAAAAGAUUGCAAAAAAAAGUCCUCUUAAGGCUCAAAAAUAAAGAAAUUCAUAACAAAAUUAUUUGCAGCGCAUAUAAAUCUUUGAAAAUCUUUAUUUUUCUUUAUGCACUCCAAUAUUUUUUAUAGCGAAACCACAAAUGUUGCUCUUUUCUGCCGGCUUUUUUUUGCGGGUUCUAAAACUUUUUUUUGCGAGUUGAAAAGUUUUGCUUGCGAGUUAAGCUGUCUCUCAGUGGGCAGUCUCUACCCACCAGGAUGUUUCCCCAAUAUGGUAUUGUAUGGAAUGAUUUUUGUGUCUUUAUUAUUCAAUCAAACAUUCUGUGUUUGAAAGUAAAACUAAUUAUUUUGUAAUUAAAAAAUAAAAGAUUGCAAAAAAAGUCCUCUUAAGGCUCAAAAAUAAAGAAAUUCAUAACAAAAUUAUUUGCAGCGCAUAUAAAUCUUUGAAAAUCUUUAUUUUUCUUUAUGCACUCCAAUAUUUUUUAUAGCGAAACCACAAAUGUUGCUCUUUUCUGCCGGCUUUUUUUUGCGGGUCUAAAACUUUUUUUGCGAGUUGAAAGUUUUGCUUGCGAGUUAAGCUGUCUCUCAGUGGGCAGUCUCUACCCACCAGGAUGAAAGGCCUUUUCCUAUUGGUCACUCUCGAUUGAAGUCACAGGUUGACCACGCCCACUCAGUUUUCCCGGAAUCCGCUGCACUGCCGCCGCAGUCUGACAGAAGAGCGAGCGAGGGUGCAUCAUGACGAGCAACAUGUCGUGUAGCCUACGUGGGUAAGAUAACUAACUUAACAUCUUCCAACAGUAUAGCUAGCUGCCAGAGCCCCCAAUAGUACAGCGUCAGG
rnacentral:lncRNA from 1 species